UACGUAGGGGCCUAGCGUUGUCCGGAUUUAUUGGGCGUAAAGAGCUCGUAGGCGGUUUGGUGAGUCGGGUGUGAAAUCUCCACGCUCAACGUGGAGGGGCCACCCGAUACUGCCAUGACUAGAGUCCGGUAGGGGAGUGUGGAAUUCCCGGUGUAGCGGUGAAAUGCGCAGAUAUCGGGAGGAACACCAGUAGCGAAGGCGACACUCUGGGCCGGUACUGACGCUGAGGAGCGAAAGCGUGGGGAGCAAACAGGAUUAGAUACCCUGGUAGUCCACGCUGUAAACGUUGGGCACUAGGUGUGGGACUCUAUCGACGGGUUCCGUGCCGUAGCUAACGCAUUAAGUGCCCCGCCUGGGGAGUACGGCCGCAAGGCUAAA
rnacentral:rRNA from 1 species